GUAAAAUUUGCCUGAACUCUGAGGCUGCAUGUAAGACACUUAGACUAUCAUUACAUUAAUGAAUCUGAGUAUUUCCUUUGAGUGCACACAUUAGAACUACUACAGCCAGCCCUCAUUUCUCACUGCUGGGGAACGGGGGUGGUCAGAUCCUGCCACCUGUGGAGAGGGGCUCAGAACCUGAGGACCACGGGUGGCCAGGGAGGAGCUCCUAGACGGCCUUCACCUCUGUAACCAGCCUUCGGUUUCCUGGGGGAAAUAUCACUACACAUAAUUAGCUCCAUUGCUUCCCUUUCUUCCCAUUUCCCCACCAUGAUUCUGUGGGCUGGGUUUUCCCUCACGUAGUAGGUUUGAGGGUGCUCUUAACUCUAUUCCAAGCCUCCUUGCCAAAAAGCAGGCUCUGAUCCUUUUCACAGUUUGUUUCUUCAGUUCCAACCAGAGACUCAAAAAGUGUGAACCCGGCCCCACUGCAAACAUUACCCGCCCACACUAUCUGUCACCAAGACCCAGUGUCCGUUGUUCCAUUUGAAUAGGUGGCUCUCAGCUUUGGCUGUCAGCUUGAAGUCACCCGGAGCCUUUUAAAACUCCCAAUGCCCCAGCUGCCCAGACCAUCAGAAUCUCUGCAGAGGCGACCCAGCCAGCCAUAUUUAUUUUAAACUUCCAAGGUGCUUCUGCUGUGAAAACUACUAGUUUAGAUCAAAAUCUGGAUUUUAAUAUAAAAACACACCUGCGAGAAGUAACACCUUUGCCUAACCAAGACCACUGACACCUAACCAAGCAUGCAUUCUCAACCUGAUUUGGCUGGCAGAGGACCAUGGAACAUGUACUUCUAGCCUGGUGCUAUCCCGUAGAAAUACGAAGCAAGCCACAUAAUAGCCUAUUGAUGUACGAUCAUAUGCAGAAAAGACUUAUGCAUCUAUUAUCUACUGAAAGAAAAACUACAGAAAACAAUAAAAUGCUAGAGACUCUUUAACCAAUCAGAAAAAAAUACGUAAGUGAAGCAGCUACGACAUCACAAAGCUUCUAUUUUUCGCUAGCACAUGAAAAUAUGAGACCUGACAAAUUGCAAACUCUCAUUGAACAGAUAGUUUAGGGUUUUGCCUUGAAAACCAUAGUCCACGGAUCAAGCAUCACAUCUUUUGGGAGUUUGUGAGAAUCUCAGACCCCUGGCAGACCUGCUGGAUCAGAAUCUGCAUUUUAACAAGAUUCACGAGCACAUUAGAGUUGGCU
rnacentral:lncRNA from 1 species